CACGUAGGGUGCGAGCGUUGUCCGGAAUUAUUGGGCGUAAAGAGCUCGUAGGCGGUGUGUCGCGUCGGCCGUGAAAACCUGCAGCUUAACUGUGGGCUUGCGGUCGAUACGGGCAUCACUGGAGUUCGGCAGGGGAGACUGGAAUUCCUGGUGUAGCGGUGAAAUGCGCAGAUAUCAGGAGGAACACCGGUGGCGAAGGCGGGUCUCUGGGCCGAUACUGACGCUGAGGAGCGGAAAGCGUGGGGGAGCGAACAGG
rnacentral:rRNA from 1 species